rnacentral:lncRNA from 1 species
GCUGGAAUCCCCGCACGUAAUAUAUCCUAUCUACCAAAUGGCAGGGCGUUCGGUAGUUUCAGCACGAAUUUACGGUGUUAUGGAGGCUUCAGCGGUGUUCGCCUACUCGAGUGUCCGAUUUUGGUUCCAGACACUCAACGGCAAAUCGCUGCUGUUCGUGUGUUAAGAUAGCCGCGAACACGUGCAAAAGUCCCGAAAUGGCAGCCACCUUGGAUCUGAGACAAAGGAUUUGUGCAUUUCUCAUACGAAUGGUAUAUGCCGGUCUGGGAGGUAAAAUACCACAUAAUUUAAUAGCAGAGUGGUCCCGUGUUCGGUAGUUGGUAUUCGUAUUUGUGCCUGCUGAAUCUCUACCGCACGGAUUGCACAAAUAGACGAAUGCUGGCAACAAAAGUCCCGAACUGUGCUAUAAUAAUCCACAAUAACCAAGUAAGCGUAUUCUCUUGUAUGAUUAGUCUCAGUUAGUGCCAAAUAUGCCCAGGCAGAAAGUAAAGUUCUGCUACACUGCUCCCCUUUUGUGGAACACUCCAGCAGACCAGGAUUGAUCCUUUUCGGGUCAACUUGGGGUUGUCUGGUCGGCUGUCAGGGUAGAAGUUCGGUUUGCCUGGACAGUCCAUCCGCAUUUCCAUUGAACUUGCCAGGGCGGUAUUGAAUGGAGAAAUUGUAUGGUUGUAGUGCUAAGCUCCAUCUCCAUUGAUUUUAACAAGAAGAUACUCCACCUUAUAUUGUAUGUAAACUUUGUUUGAUGUGAGGGUGAAGGGCACUCACUAAGGUGUACUGAGAAUCUUUUUGUUUUAUUCCUUUAUGUAAGUGUCCCACUGGAAAAUACUGUAUUUCUUUUAUCCAUCUCAGCAAGCGUCCAUUGUCCCCAGCCACUCGGUUCAACCAUACCAGGGAAUUAUGGGUGAAUUCCUGACCAUACAGAUAUGGUGUAAGUUUCUUUAAAGCCCAGACCAGGGCUAAACACUCCUUCUCCACUGCCGCGUAGCUCACUUCCCUGGGUAAUAACUUUCUACUCAGGUACGCGACAGGGUGUUCCCCUCCAUCGUCCCCGAUCUGGCUUAGAACUGCCCCCAGUCCGUACAUGGACGCAUCUGUAUGGACGACAAAUCUUUUGUUAGGGACGGGGGCAGACAAAACAGGUGCGUUGAUCAAGGCUUGCUUUAAUGCUUGGAAGGCUGUUUCACAGGCGGGAGACCACAGGACUAUUCUUGGUAGGUUCUUUUUAGUUAGGUCUGUCAGGGGUUUAGCAAUGGCGCUGUAGUCAGGGACAAAUUUCCUGUAGUACUCGGCUGUCCCUAAGAAAGCCAAUACUUGAGUCUUGGUGUGGGGUGUGGGCCAGUUGGCUACAGCCUCAACCUUAGCUGGUCCUGGUCGCUGUUUGCCACACCCUACCCUGUGUCCCAAGUACUGAACUUCGGCCAUGCCGAAAUGGCACUUUUCUGGUUUCAGUGUUAGGCCUGCAGCACGAAUCUGAUCCAGUACGGCCUCUACAUGCCUUAAGUGUUUUCCCCACGUUUCGCUAUAGAUCACAAUGUCAUCCAAGUCCUGGAAGCCAUCAAGGAGUCUAUCUACCAAGUGCUGAAAUGUAGCUGGGGCGUUUUUCAUCCUGAAUGGCAUGACCUUGAAUUGGUACAGGCCAAACGAGGUAAAGAACGCCAACUUGGGGAUAGCUUCC